rnacentral:rRNA from 1 species
GACGAACGCUGGCGGCGUGCUUAACACAUGCAAGUCGAACGAUGAAGCUGGAGCUUGCUCCGGUGGAUUAGUGGCGAACGGGUGAGUAUCACGUGAGCAAUCUGCCCUUCACUCUGGGAUAACUGCGGGAAACUGUAGCUAAUACCGGAUACGAGACCUUGGGGCCUCCCAGGGUCUGGAAAGAAUUUCGGUGAAGGAUGAGCUCGCGGCCUAUCAGCUAGUUGGUGAGGUAAUGGCUCAGAAAGGCGACGACGGGUAGCCGGCCUGAGAGGGUGACCGGCCACACUGGGACUGAGACACGGCCCAGACUCCUACGGGAGGCAGCAGUGGGGAAUAUUGCACAAUGGGCGAAAGCCUGAUGCAGCAACGCCGCGUGAGGGAUGAAGGCCUUCGGGUUGUAAACCUCUUUUAGUAGGGAAGAAGCGCAAGUGACGGUACCUACAGAAAAAGCACCGGCAAACUACGUGCCAGCAGCCGCCGCCG